GAAAUGCGAUAAGUAAUGUGAAUUGCAGAAUUCAGUGAAUCAUCGAAUCUUUGAACGCACAUUGCACCUGGUGGUAUUCCACUGGGUAUGCCUGUUCGAGCGUCAUUUCAACCAUCAAGCUCUGCUUGGUAUUGGGUGCCACCGGCAUGGUGCGCCUUAAAGUCAAUGGCAGUGCCAUCUGGCUUCAAGCGUAGUAAUACUUCUCGCUCUGGAGGCCCAGGUGUUUACUUGCCAAAACCCCCAUACUUAAGGUUGACCUCGGAUCAGGUAGGGAUACCCGCUGAACUUAA
rnacentral:misc_RNA from 1 species